UAGUUUUUCUGUGUUUGUUUGUUUGUUCUUUAGUGCCCUCUGCUGACAUUACGUUGUGUUUCUCUGUCUGUGUGUGUGUGUGUGUGUGUGUGUGUGUGCCGACUAGAACUUCCGUUCAGAGAGACUAAAGCGAGCUGGCAGGUACGGCAAAUCAACAAGCACAGUCGCUGAUCAUCAGCCUGUACAUGAACUGAUCUGUGAGGGAAUGUUUGAUGUAUAUCUGUGCUGAACCUCUGUGUUCCCGCAGGGCGGCUGAUGAAGAUGUGAUGGACAAAGACCAGAUCCUCAUGGAGAAGGAAGCUGAGCUGAGACGCAUGCAGCAGAUGAUCGCUCAGAUGCAAGCUCAGAUGAAGAUGAAACCAGGAGACGACUAAGUGUGUGUUUGUGUUUAUGUGUCUAUCUGUGUGUUGUGGGAACCGGAAGUGCCAUCUGACUGGAGUUACAUUAUCCUACCCAUUUCUAAACACUAUUUGCUUGUCCAAUCCCUCAUGUUUAUCAGAUUAAUGGAGCGUAACGUUAAUGUCGUCUAAUUGAUGUAACCAAUCACUCACGAUCACAGCUCCACCCAUAUGAAUAACUGCAACACUGAAACAAACAGUCCAUUAUCAUGUCAUUUAAUCUAUCGGGUUAGACGCUGUUAAUAAUUUAUGGUUUCAUUGACAAUGUUCAGCAGAGCACUAAUUCCAAGUAUGGGUCACCAUACUUGGCCACAUGUCACGUCACUUUCACUUUCAUAUGUUCAUCUGCAGAUUGAUCAGGGUUUGUGGUCUGCUGGAGACUAGAUGUUUUUCUGUGCCAAACACUCUUUUUAAGCUGCUUGUUUUGAACCAGUCAUGCAUCAGGCUGGCAUAUGUUUACCAGAUCUCCUUGUCAAUACUUUAUAAAGCAUAUAUAUAUUACUUUGACUGCGGAUACAUGGGUUAAAAUAAGAGGACGAUGCACUAGUAAAUGAACCUGGUCAAGUUUACAGUUUUAUCAGAUGCACGGGUUCAUAAUCGUCGUGAAUUAAUAUCAGAGUUUGCUGGACUGGUUUAUGAAAAAGUGGUCGUGUUUAGCACAUACAAAUUUCAUCACAAAAAGUAUCACUAACAAAGAAACAGAUGCUCUCAUCAUAUGCAUAGUGUUGAUUUGAGCUGCAUUGGGCAGCGCUUCCCUCUAGUGGACUACAGAAAAACAACCUGAAGUACUAUAGAAGGCACAUAAACGUGACACUUUGCCUGCAUCGUGAAAAAACUAAGACUACAAUUGGACAAUCUCUUGACAUCAUGUUUGCAUUUUGUCAAUAAUACAAUAUCUGAUCAUCUUUUUGAAAGAGAAAUCUGUUAAUAGAGCGGCUCAGCAAAUGUAUAUGUGUUCACCUUUCUUAGAGAGUGUGAAUCUAGUAAAGUGAUGGUAAAGUUACGUUUAUUGUGGACUCACUGGUUCAGCUGCCAGUUUACAUUUUGAUUCACAGAAAUGCCUUAAAACGCCAUUUAGAGACAUGGUGCACACAUUUCUCUUCUUUUAUACUUAUUAUGGUUUGGGUUUUUUUCUAUCAUUUUUAUUGCUUGAUCUUCACUUUAUUUACUACUUAAACAUUAACAUCUACUGCAGUGAUCUUUAUAUUUCUUGGUUAGCAGCUGGGGCCUUUAUAGCUGUAUGUUUUAAAAGUUCAUCAAAACGGUACAAGGUCUAAGAAACGGACUGAAACGCACCAUCACUGCCUGCACAUCGAUGUCCGAGUCAUUUUACAGCAUUGUAGUGAGUUAUUUGCUAAUUAUUAAUGUCUGCUGUAAACACACUGAUUCUGAUUUGUUGUAUUUGUGGUUCAGCCCACUUAUUUUGACUCGGUUAUCUCCUGUUUAGGCCUUUUUUAAAGGAUUAACACAGUUGUCGUUGUGCGGUACAGUAAUGCUUACUUCCCUGUUUUACAUGGUCCUUUUUGUAUUUGCUCAUGUUGAGAAAUAAAUAACUUUCUGAGUCAUUUGUUUUGAACGCUUUAGUUUCCUGCAAGCAUAAAGUCUCAGAAAUGGUUUGUGGAUUUGUGUAAAUUUCAUCCAUUUCUGUUUGUACACCGUAAAUAAUAUUUUGCUCAACAGUGAAAUUUUAUUAUGCUUUUUUGAUUCAUCAUUUUUGACUAGUUUAAUUGACCCUGCAAAUUAUAUGAAUCUUUCAAUUAAAGACUGUA
ensembl:lncRNA